rnacentral:rRNA from 1 species
UACGAAGGGUGCAAGCGUUAAUCGGAAUUACUGGGCGUAAAGGGCGCGUAGGCGGCUGUUUAAGUCUGUCGUGAAAUCCCCGGGCUCAACCUGGGAAUGGCGAUGGAUACUGGACAGCUAGAGUGUGGCAGAGGAUGGUGGAAUUCCCGGUGUAGCGGUGAAAUGCGUAGAGAUCGGGAGGAACAUCAAUGGCGAAGGCGGCCAUCUGGGACAACACUGACGCUGAAGCACGAAAGCGUGGGGAGCAAACAGG